rnacentral:rRNA from 1 species
AGCAGCCGCGGUAAUUCCAGCUCCAAUAGCGUAUAUUAAAGUUGUUGCAGUUAAAAAGCUCGUAGUUGAAUUUCGGGAUUUGUCAGUUGGUCGGGCUUCACUGUCCGUACUGACUUGAUGGAUUCUUACCUUCUGAAUAACCAGCAUGCUAUUAAGUUAGUGCGUUGGGGAAGCAGAUCUAUUACCUUGAAAAAAUUAGAGUGCUUAAAGCGGGCUAGUGCUUGAAUAGAUUAGCAUGGAAUAAUAAAAUAGGACGGCAUGGUUCUAUUUUGUUGGUUUCUAGGAUCACCGUAAUGAUUAAUAGGGAUAGUUGGGGGCAUUAGUAUUCAAUUGUCAGAGGUGAAAUUCUUGGAUUUAUUGAAGACUAACUUCUGCGAAAGCAUUUGCCAAGGAUGUUUUCAUUAAUCAAGAACGAAAGUUAGGGGAUCGAAGACGAUCAGAUACCGUCGUAGUCUUAACCAUAAACUAUGCCGACUAGGAAUCGGACGAAGUUAAUUUUAUAAUGACUCGUUCGGCUACC